UAUACUUGCGUAUGGUACGCAGCCCACGAACAUUUUCUAGAGAUUUACUUACUGCAAUAAGUACCACAACCAACCACAGAAUAAGGAUCCAAAUUAGCAGAAGCCGGACCGCCGUCAUUGUCAAACACCGCCAGAGUUGAACUGAUUCGUAUCCUUAAGCAGCUCUUGGUCAUUCGAGUGGCCCAGCCUGCGAAAGGGUAUCGUCUCACCCUCGAUCUCCAUGUAAUCUUCGACGAUGGACCGCAGCUCGACCGGCGGCUUAGCUGAUGGGAUCAGGGCCCUGACCACAUUGGCCACGUUUCCCAGGACCUCCUGCUUUUCCAUUGCGCUCGUUCAACGAUUCAAAUUAUUAAUAAAUUCAAUUCAUAAAUACCCAAAAGACCGUCAACAGCUACACAACAUAUGCAUGCCUUCUGCAUACAUAUUUAUAUGUAUAAAUUACCGACAGUACCGACAACAUCAUCUUACGGAUCACCAUCAACUCAAGUAAUGCGGGGAAUAGCUGUUUUAAGGGUAACAACUGUCGUUCGGCUCAUGAGCCCUUUGCUCCAAAUGGCGCCACCAAGGAUGUCGAACUAGCUAGAGCUCUUCCGGAGACAAUCUUUGAUACACCAGUGCCUCUUGAAAUCGGCAGCACUGUCAGCAUCCUGAUCACCUUCAUUAAUGGACCCACCGAGGUAUAAGGCCAGUUUUUGCCGGAUCUCCGCCGUUGGUGUGGAACAAAAUGGAUGUGCCAGAGAACAAACGGACGUUCAAGUCGAAUCCGCGUCUUCUCGACACUGUACUUGCUCUCUACAGUGAUGGUUGCUUCCAUCGCGCCCAAAUAAUCGAUGAAUUUUGAAUUGAGAGCUUAAAAGGGAAGCAACGUGAUUAAAAAGAUUGUUACAGACCAAGACAACACUAAUAAAGCAGGAAUAUAGUGUUAUUCCAAAAAAUCCAAACCCGAGCUGAAGAAACGACUGAAGACGCGAUAAUAAAAAUAAAUCCGUAGCGACAAUAGCACUCACCAAUAGCACUCAUAAUCGCAAUAUUGAUCAUUGAAUCAUGCGAAUUCUACAUAAUUAGAUUUCUAAUUUUAUGGAAGUCAAUGAAAUGAUAAUACUUACAUACAAUAAAUAUGCUAACAUGAGA